UCGCCUGUUUAACAAAAACAUAGCUAGGCUGUACCUAGUGCAUCUGCCCAAUGAUAAAUAUUUAAUGGCCUAUAAGGUAGCAAAAUAACUUGUCUCUUAAUUAGAGACAUGUAUGAAGACAGCAUUAAUUCAGCCUCAAUCUACUUAUAAAAUAAACUUAAGAAACCAGUGCAAACUCUGGUAAACCCCUCUUAGACGAUAAGACCCUAAAACCUUCACUAAGUUUUGCUGGGAUAGCAAUUUAARAAUAAUAAAAUUACUUCAAUUAUUAUAAACCAUUGAGAUGCUAACUAAAGGUACUUUAGGGAUAACAGCGUCCCUCCCUUUCUAAGCUCUAAUUUAUAAGGGUAACACGACCUCGAUGUUGAAUUAAGCUAGGCCUAGCCGCAGCCGGCUAGGCUAAUUAAGUCUGUUCGACUUCUAUUGCUUACAUGAUUUGAGUUAAGAUCGACGUGAGCCAGGUUGGUUUCUAU
rnacentral:rRNA from 1 species